rnacentral:rRNA from 1 species
AUUGAACGCUGGCGGCAUGCCUUACACAUGCAAGUCGAACGGUAACGCGGGGGCAACCCUGGCGACGAGUGGCGAACGGGUGAGUAAUACAUCGGAACGUGUCCUGUUGUGGGGAUAACCCAUCGAAAGGUGAGCUAAUACCGCAUGAUCUGGAGACAGCAAAGCAGGGGACCGGUAACGGCCUUGCGCGAUUGGAGCGGCCGAUGUCCGAUUAGCUAGUUGGUGGGGAAAGGCCCACCAAGGCAACGAUCGGUAGCUGGUCUGAGAGGAUGAUCAGCCACACUGGGACUGAGACACGGCCCAGACUCCUACGGGAGGCAGCAGUGGGGAAUUUUGGACAAUGGGGGCAACCCUGAUCCAGCCAUGCCGCGUGAGUGAAGAAGGCU